UGAAAUGUGAGGAGUGAAAUACACGCAUCAAGCAGCAGGAACAUUCAAAAGUUAUCCAGGAAUUUUCUAGUACUUUUAAUGUCAUCAUCUACUGGUGCAAUCUUCUGUAACUGUGUCAUCAGUUUUGCUCUUUCUUGUUCAACUUUUUCGUCAUAUAAAAAUAUGUUAAACUGAGCGCAGCGCAGUCACCUGGAUUUUAAAGUGUGUUUUGUCUGUAUGCUAAUCAGGCUGCGCGGACUCCAUGACGGGAUUGGUCGGAAGCAGAGAGGAGGAGCCUCCGACUCCACGGCCGGCUUCUCCUAUUGGUGCGGAAAUGAUCCUGACAAUCCUUACCACAGCUGCAGCCGUUCAAGCAUCAGAGGAAGAGAGUUUAAGAGCCCAGCCCUCACAUCGUUAGUGGCAGCUGACAUGAUAGGCAGCUCGCCUCUGUACCACUUGUGUUAACGUGUGUAAUUUGUGAUUUGGUUUUUGAUGCUGGUAGUGAUUGUUGGGGACUGGGCUAGGUUUAAAAUUCUGAUUGUGCAUCACACCCUUAGAAAAAGACUGUUGGACACAUUAAGAACAGGGGUGCUGCUUCUUGUGUUUUUGGGUUGGUUAGAAUCACAUAGUUAGGCUCUUUGUUGGCUCCUGUUCCCCUACUUCAGUUAUCCUCUUGCCUUGUUUGGAUUUUUGUUUACUUAUUUACCCUCCUGGUUAUGUAAUAAAUCAGUAAAUUUGAUUUACCAAUAACACCUGGUUUUAUGUUGCUUCCCUUUUCCCCUAGCUGGGUCAUAACAUGAAGACGGUGACUGGGAAGACAGCCCCAUGGCCUUAUAUACACACACUAGAAACCAACAUGUCUGCAAUGUACUAAAACCUGGCUCUGUCAGCAGUCCACAGUCAGUAAGUGAAAUACUAGAUGAGUAAAAUUUUGCAGGCUGUUGUAUCUUCUUUGCUUGCAGAAAUCAACUGCCUGGUACUGGAUGUGAGUCCCACAGCGUCAGAGGUUUCACUUUCUCAGCAAAGUGGUUCCACAAAGGGUUUAUAUCUUGAUGCUUCAUGUGAAUAGUGCAACAUCUACUGGCCUGAAUGCAAAAUGGGCAAAUACAGACGUUUGUAUGUCACAAAUUGAAUGUAAGUAUAAUGGAAAGCAUGAUUGUAUUUUUCUAAUCCAAGCAUAGAUUUAUAUACUGUAAAAGCAAAUCAAAUGUUUUGUAUGCAUCAAAUGUGUCAAUAUCAGUCAAGUUAAGCUCCAUGUCUUUGUUUUAACUAAGUGUUAAAAACUGUAAGUUGGUUUGCAAUGUGAGCAAAGAACAUGUAGCUUUACUUUUAAAUGUCAGCUUUGGUGGUUUUGCUGUAAAGGUGCAAUAUAAGAUGUGGCCAGAACUUUAGUUUAAAAUGUUCCAAAAAUGAAUUAUCACUAUCAACAGUAUGUGAAGCAGCCACAGUGACGAUGUCAUGAUCAAGAUCUCCAUCUGUUGUAUUUCAGUUAUCUACUGAAGUGCGCAUGCGCACUAGCCAGCCCGACCUGUCCUGUGUUGUAAUACCACUUUGUGACACUAGACGCUGUGUGAGUCAGCGGAGCGUCAAGUCUGGUCUCAGUCCCACGAAGAAGAACAACUUCCGGCAAGGCUCGAGGUUAGCAUCACAGAAACACAGGAAUGGCUAAACCUCCUAAAAGACGAUAUUCAUCUGCAUCCCGAAGGACCGCUCCCGAUAAGAAACCACGUUCAACGGCAAAGAAAAGAAGCAACACGAGUAAAUCUCGAUGUGACUUUCCACCGCUGGAGAAGCUGCUGAGGGUAAAGAGAUGCGGUUUGAUGCCGAGCUCGCAACUUUCCUGUUAGCUUGCCACCUCCUCUGCCUGGACUACCUGUACCCAGGACCAGAGCCUACAGGAAGAGGAAGGCGGCCCGAAGCUGCUGUGGCAGAGCGGGGGCCGCUGUCUGGAGGAACAACCCACCGGCAGCCAACAUCAUGCAUCUGCAGCAAGUGUGGCCAACCCAGAAGGAUUGGCACUGACCUCACUCACAUAGCAAGUGUGUCACACUGUGACUGUUGGUGGAAAUACUGGAGGACAACUUUUUCUAUCUCCAUUUAUAACUUUUAAUUGACAUUAUUUAUUAUUAUUAUUAUUAUAUUUGAUUUGUUGCAUUUGGAGUGGUGUUUGUGUCAGCUGAUGUUUCAUGAUGAUCUCAGUCCAGUGUUCCCUCUCUUUUAGCUCUGUGUUUGGUUUCCACCAGCUCCUGAGGGAAAUCUGUCUCUUUAGCUUCUUAAUGCUCCAGUAUGUUCACCAGCUGCUUUCGCACCGUGUCUGUCUGCUGUUUGCUGCUGAGGAGGUCGUGGACAGUGGCUACGGCCAAAAAAGUAUAUACAUUCAAAGAUGACAAAGACGCUCACAUGUGCUGUGGUACAGUGGAUGGAUGGGCAUCGGUUGAGAAAACUAAGGUCAUCACAUGACUCACUGUCACAGGGGGAGGAGCCCUGGGAGAGACCGUCAGUUUCAUCUGUACCUCAAGUUCUGUUAGUAAGUUAAAUGAUAAGUUUAUGGCACUGCAGUGACUCAAUAUCUCCUCUUGAGGAACAAAGUGGUAUUACAAGAUGAGACGAACAGUUCAGGACAUCUAGCAGCAGUUACACAGUGAACCUUUUUAAGGCAUCUGCAGUCACUUAUUUCUGUCCCAUUAACCCCAUCACCAUUCUGUUCAAAGGAAUGCAUUUUAUUAAGCGUUGCUUUAUAUUGAGUAAACUUUAAAUAAAGGGCUGAUUUGUUUAAGCAUU